GGCGAUAAAAAACACUCUUCUCUGAUAUAUGAUGUGUUUAUUAUUUAUUUGCUUAUUAUAAAAGGUCCCCAAGUUCCCUGCUGGGGGAGUUCAUUUAUUUUGUAUGCAAAAAAAGAAAAAAAAAAGAAAGAAAGGGGGGAGAGGAAAAAAAAUCAUCCCCAAGUAUAACAAGAGACGAACAGUUAGUGCUGAUUUUCAUUUGCAUAAAUUUUCAUAUAUUUUAGUGAAAAUAAUAGCGGGAGCCGAGGAGUGCUCCUGCUCAGUUGAGGCAGAGGAAAGAAAAUCUUAGGGAGCACCGAGUCGUAGGAAAGGGAGAUAACCAUUUACAGGCUCCAAAUGAACAAUGCGAAGUUAUUUCCCUUUUCUUGGACACAAGGAGAGCCACAGUCCCCUGUUGCACACACACAUCCAGACACACACACACACCAAACUUUGGUGCUAACGUGACACCCCUUCUUGUCCCCCAUCCUUCCCCCAUGACGCACAACCUCUGGAGGUAAGGGCCUGAGCCGGUUGUGUGAAUGUGUGUGUGCUCGCACCGUCUCUCUCCCCCAGCAAAAGCGGACACGCCGUCUCCCCAGCUUCCGCUUUCCUCUGCAUGCCUGCUGCUGCUGGAGUAUUCACGCUUCAGGCUGUUUUCUUUGAGAGAGAGAGAGAGGGAGAGAGAGGGAGACAGAGUAUAAAAAUAUGCAAAUGCUAUUGUUGAAGCGCAGAACGAAGGAGGGGAGGGCGCUCCUUUUACACCCCCUCACCUCCCCUGUCGCUGCUGCUGCUGCCACCGUUACCGCUUCCACCUCCAUCCAUCCAUCCUUCCAACCAUCCAACUAACCAACCAGUGUUAGGAGAGGGAGUGAGAGCACCAAGAAAGAGAGAGAGAGUGGGGGGGGGAUCUCAGGUUUGACUUGACAACAGGGGCAGGAUAUUAAAAAAUAUGCUGAAAGGCCACCAUUGUCUGUUUCAGCUGAGGCCGUUUUCCAGAACUACACACAUGUACACAAACAUACAUAUAUUUCUAUACACACACAGAAAAACACACAGGCAGAGAGGGAGAUGGAGACGUGCAGCUAUUGAGAUAAUGAAAUCCAUCACACAAACCACAAAGACCUACAAAUGUUCCUAAGAGAGGGAGAGAGAGCAAGUCGGAGGACUUCAUCAUGCUCUGUACAUUAUAUAAGCAUGAGACUAAACACAAUCUGAUAAUGCUUUAUAUUACAGCCCACUACAUACAGUACAAUUAAUCCCAACUCACAGUUGUCGCACUAGUGUAGUACUAAAGCUGAACAAUACCUACUUGUAGGUAUAACGGAAGAAGAUAUUUUUAGGGAGUAAUGAGGGAACAACAGAAGCUGCACAGCAACAAGAUGAUGAUGGGCAAAACACAAAGUUCCUUUCAUCAAAUCGGGUAUUUAAGAACUAUUAAUGGCACUUUGGUGUGAGGAAAGGCCUGAGAAGAUAACCAGCAAACUUUAUUGUGAACAGUUGCUUCUGACAAUUUAUAGUGGUCAUGCUAACGUGACUUUACCCCUAAAACAUGGACAAAAUCCUCCCAACCGACAAUCCAUCGAUGUCAUGCACUCGCUUGGUUGUUUCAACACAUGAUGCAAAUUUUAAAAUGGUUUAACCCUCUAAACCCCAGGCAGUUUCUGAGCAUUUGUUUUGUUGUUGGUCCUGCCGCAUUUGCACUCAGUGUGGUCUAAUUUUUCACUGCAACAUCAAAACCUGCACCUCAAUAGAAACAGCACAACCCUGGCAACAAGGAGCGAGAAAUCCAUAAUCUCUUCUGUGAUAUUAUAAUAAACUAAUCACGUCAUAAAUAAGAAAAAACUUAUUAAUUUAUUUUAAAAAUGAGAAAAACCUGGAAUCAGCAUGUAACACAUAUUUCCAAAGUGUUUUCAUACUUGUCUCAGUUCUGUUGAAACACUGCCUGCAGUUCAGUCCAGUCCAGUUGAUAUGUCAUUACGUUUUUUUUCAUGUGACCAGUCACUAAUGACUUCUCAGUUUUGCUAAGGCGUGCAAAUUUUUUGGUAUUUUACAGAAUUAGGUUACGACAAUUUAUUUAUUUUUGAUGUCUUUUUUAAAAAAGAUUUUGAGAAAAAACUACGACUUCAGGCUUAUGUUUCAUUACAUAGACGAGCAGUUCAAGGACAAUCAUCCAGUUGAAAAUCUCGCAAUUCUUUAUGCUCUUGCACUUUAUUGCUCUGAUAAGCAGUCUCAUUUUGGUGCAGUUUCACAGAUAGCAUGCCUUUUGGGGUUCAGAAGGUUAAGUACAAGUAAUCUGCCUUGUAAUUGUGUUUGACCGGGCCUUUAAGAUGCGCCACAGUGGAAAACAAGCUUACAGUUUUUAUAGUAGUAUAAAUGGGUGACUGUUCCACCCUUGUUCCCUAAACCUCAGCUCCUGCUUUCUUAUAAUUAUGUAUUGGUAUGUGCUGUGCUAGUAUGCUAAACAUACAAUGUAAAUUUGUAUUAAUUGUGCUGUAGCAGGCUGAAGAAACAGAGAAAGGGAUAAAAAUUGUGGACUUAUAGUGAAGCUGUGCAUACAGGUGUUUUCACCUCUGGGAAAACAGAUCUUGGCUCAAGUUAAAGGUGGGACUACAUUGCUGUGCUUCGUUAUGUCAUGUUGUACACUUCAGUAAAUCUUGUUGCCAGUUUGCAUGCUGAAGAAGGGCGUCUGUCCAGAACAUGCCUGCAUGAAUUCAUCAAUUAAUAGUUGUGCUGUUCCGUUCCGCUGAUUAUUUGCUGUAUUAAAUGCAAAAACAGCCUAAUGACAAUCUGCAUAUAUCACAUGGUGUAUAUAAUUAGUUUCUAGUGUGAAUUUGGGAUACAACAGUUAGCAGACACCUGCAAAAAGACCUUCUAACUAUCGAAUAACUCACAUCAAACUGCCCUGUAUGGCAUAUAAUAGUUAUAAUUUAUGAACAAAGCUUUUGAUACGACUAUUUGUACUUUUAGCCAGGAUGUACAUCUUCAGUACCAUAACAGCACACAAAAAAACAUCAGGGUAGACAAGACGUAUUGAUUUCCCUUACUUUUUUCCACACACUCUUUGCAAAAGAAAGAAAUAGAGAAGGAGACAAUCACGCAUAUACAAAGAACGAAAACACACACAACCCUACACAGACCAACACACACCCUCAGAAAGCGAGAGAGAGAAUAUGUGUGUGAAAGUGGGAAGCCCAUUUGUAAAGCCCUCACGCUCUCAGGAAGACUUUUUGAAGUGAUUAUGAAGACAGUUCAGAUCAAAGGAUUUGACAAGUCUGAGUGCGCGCCAAAUAUGAGGCCGGGUAAUCACACUGAAGCCCCUCCAUACAAGAUGGCUGUGGUCCCCCCAGCUGCUUUGCAAAUGUAAUGUGACACUUACGGAUAAACAGAUUAUCAAGAAAUGGAGAGGUGGGGUUGGGUGAAGGGACCAGGAAUAAAUAAAAAAAAGAAAUAAAAAAAGAAA